UGAAACCAGAGGUACAGGUGUAAGAUCC
rnacentral:piRNA from 1 species